rnacentral:rRNA from 1 species
GUACGGCGAGUGAAGCGGUAAAAGCUCAAAUUUGAAAUCUGGUACUUUCAGUGCCCGAGUUGUAAUUUGUAGAAUUUGUCUUUGAUUAGGUCCUUGUCUAUGUUCCUUGGAACAGGACGUCAUAGAGGGUGAGAAUCCCGUUUGGCGAGGAUACCUUUUCUCUGUAAGACUUUUUCGAAGAGUCGAGUUGUUUGGGAAUGCAGCUCAAAGUGGGUGGUAAAUUCCAUCUAAAGCUAAAUAUUGGCGAGAGACCGAUAGCGAACAAGUACAGUGAUGGAAAGAUGAAAAGAACUUUGAAAAGAGAGUGAAAAAGUACGUGAAAUUGUUGAAAGGGAAGGGCAUUUGAUCAGACAUGGUGUUUUUUGCAUGCACUCGCCUCUCGUGGGCUUGGGCCUCUCAAAAAUUUCACUGGGCCAACAUCAAUUCUGGCAGCAGGAUAAAUCAUUAAGAAUGUAGCUACUUCGGUAGUGUUAUAGCUUUUUGGAAUACUGUUAGCCGGGAUUGAGGACUGCGCUUCGGCAAGGAUGUUGGCAUAAUGGUUAAAUGCCGCCCGUCUU